rnacentral:rRNA from 1 species
UACGUAGGUGGCAAGCGUUGUCCGGAAUUACUGGGUGUAAAGGGGGCGUAGGCGGGUGUUUAAGUUGAAUGUUAAAACGAUCGGCUCAACCGGUCGAUGCGUUCAAAACUGAGCAUCUUGAGUGAAGUAGAGGCAGGCGGAAUUCCCGGUGUAGCGGUGGAAUGCGUAGAUAUCGGGAGGAACACCAGUGGCGAAGGCGGCCUGCUGGGCUUUAACUGACGCUGAGGCUCGAAAGCAUGGGGAGCAAACAGGAUUAGAUACCCUGGUAGUCCAUGCCGUAAACGAUGAUUACUAGGUGUGGGCGGGAAACCGUCCGUGCCGGAGUUAACACAAUAAGUAAUCCACCUGGGGAGUACGGCCGCAAGGUUGAA